GAUGAACGCUGGCGGCGUGCCUAAUACAUGCAAGUCGAGCGAACAGACGAGGAGCUUGCUCCUCUGUCGUUAGCGGCGGACGGGUGAGUAACACGUGGAUAACCUACCUAUAAGACUGGGAUAACUUCGGGAAACCGGAGCUAAUACCGGAUAAUAUAUUGAACCGCAUGGUUCAAUAGUGAAAGACGGUUUUGCUGUCACUUAUAGAUGGAUCCGCGCCGCAUUAGCUAGUUGGUAAGGUAACGGCUUACCAAGGCAAUGAUGCGUAGCCGACCUGAGAGGGUGAUCGGCCACACUGGAACUGAGACACGGUCCAGACUCCUACGGGAGGCAGCAGUAGGGAAUCUUCCGCAAUGGGCGAAAGCCUGACGGAGCAACGCCGCGUGAGUGAUGAAGGUCUUCGGAUCGUAAAACUCUGUUAUUAGGGAAGAACAAAUGUGUAAGUAACUAUGCACGUCUUGACGGUACCUAAUCAGAAAGCCACGGCUAACUACGUG
rnacentral:rRNA from 1 species